CAUGCCAAUUACCACUUAUAAGAGAGAUAAAGAAUUGGAAAAAAAGCUCAUUGGGUUGGCUAAACAGGCCUUGGCGGAGAAGCUACCAUGUUAUGAAUUUGUGGCCAUUGAGUGGGUAACUGGACAUCGCUGUGCUGGUUGGGUAUAUAAUAUAACGUUUCAAGCUCACGGUGCUGAUGCUCCUGAGGGCAAAAGUUUUCAAGCUCGUGUUUAUGCUGGAAUUGUGGAUGUGCAGGUUAAAUUCUGCCGUCCCAAAGUGGUUAAAACUUAGUUGAACUCGGCUUGGGUCAGUCAUGGAAGGUGGACUAGCAAUGUUAUGUUGCAAUUUUUGAGUGUGAUGGGAGAACUAUAGAAAGCUGUUUGCUUAACUAUGUUAGUGUUUGAUGAUGUUGACAGUCAAACAUGUUCUCUAGCUGAGGGUGAUUUUGAGCUUUUUGAUCUUGUAGUCUGGUCCUGGGAAUAUAAAUAAAGGUUCAGACAUUGUUGAAUUGCUUUUCCAUGAGAGACUUUUCCCAAAAAAACAAUAUGGAAACCUUGUGUAGAUGAAUAUGGAAAGCAUUUGAAUCUCAAUGAGUUGUAUAAAAGUCUAGUUGGAAGUUCCCAAUGAGCUGCAGUGAAAACAGCUAAUCUUUGACUGAAUAAGUGAGAGGUGCAUUGACC